UACGAAGGGGGCUAGCGUUGUUCGGAAUUACUGGGCGUAAAGCGCGCGUAGGCGGACAUUUAAGUCAGGGGUGAAAUGCCGGGGCUCAACCUCGGAACUGCCUUUGAUACUGGAUGUCUGGAGUUCGGGAGAGGUGAGUGGAAUUCCGAGUGUAGAGGUGAAAUUCGUAGAUAUUCGGAGGAACACCAGAAGCGAAGGCGGCUCACUGGCCCGAUACUGACGCUGAGGCGCGAAAGCGUGGGGAGCGAACAGG
rnacentral:rRNA from 1 species